rnacentral:rRNA from 1 species
CGAACCGGGAUGUCUGGCUUUGGUCGAUUGUAAUUUGUAGAAGGUGCUUCGGGCGAGGCCCGGUCCAAGUCCCUUGGAACAGGGCGUCGCAGAGGGUGAGAAUCCCGUAUGCGGCCGAUGGCCAAGCCCGUGUGAAGCCCUUUCGACGAGUCGAGUUGUUUGGGAAUGCAGCUCUAAAUGGGUGGUAAAUUUCAUCUAAAGCUAAAUAUCUGUCGUUGACCGAUAGCGCACAAGUAGAGUGAUCGAAAGAUGAAAAGCACUUUGAAAAGAGAGUCAAACAGUACGUGAAAUUGUUGAAAGGGAAGCGCUUGCAACGAGACUCGUUCGUGGGUGUUCAGCCGUCCCUCGGGACGGUGCACUCUCCCGCGUUUCGGGCCAGCAUCGGUUUUGGCGGCCGGACAAAGGCUUCGAGAACGUAGCUCUCUCCGGAGAGUGUUAUAGCCCGGGGCGUAAUGCGGCCAGCUGAGACCGAGGACCGCGCAUUCGCUAGGAUGCUGGCGUAAUCGUUGUCAGCGACCCGUCUUGAAACACGGACCAGUAAGUAGCAAUUUUAAAUUUAUUGUAUGCACGUUACUAACCAUUUCACAGAGGAGUCGACCAAUCUGGCAAGUUUUAGGGCGUAAACCCCUGAAGCGCAAUGAAAGUGAACGUAGGUGGGAGCCUUCGGGUGCACCAUCGACCGAUCCUGAUGUCUUCGGAUGGAUUUGAGUAUGAGCCCGGCUGGUCGGACCCGAAAGGUACGUUUUCACGAUUACUCGAUGUUAUGAAUUAAUGCUAAUAUAUUAUUUACAGAUGGUGAACUAUGCGUGAAUAGGGUGAAGCCAGAGGAAACUCUGGUGGAGGCUCGCAGCGGUUCUGACGUGCAAAUCGAUCGUCAAAUUUGCGCAUAGGGGCGAAAGACUAAUCGAACUAUCUAGUAGCUGGUUCCCGUCGAAGUUUCCCUCAGGAUAGCAGCAACGAAAACAGUCUCAUGAGGUAGAGCAAACGAUUAGAGGUCUUGGGGUUGUAAUCGACCUUAACCUAUUCUCGAACUUCGAAUAUGUGAGAAGUCCUUGUUACUUAGUUGAACGUGACAUUGGAUUAUCGUGCUUGUCCCCA